GUUACCACCACCUAUCACCACCACCAUCUCCCCCUCUACUCUGCAAACCAAUCUAUAAUAAAAGAGUUCUUUAAAUUCCUAUAAUCUUUUCAAAAUGCUAAACGGCUAUGAUUGCUAACCUCUCUUCCAUCUCUCGCUUCUAGAUCUCACCACCCUUUUCUUCUUUUACUUCAAAUCUGUCACUCAAAUCACACUUUUUCAUCCUUUUUUCCCACUUAAUUUCCCCCAAAACAAAAACCUAAUCUCGAAAUAUAAACAAAAGAUUACUUUUUUUUUUUCUUAUUAAGCAAACCAUUUGAAAAAUUACACUCAUCUCCUUAACAAGAUUACCCCCUGCAUUUGUUAGCUCUCCAAUUGCUUCUUCUGCUAUUCGUAUCUUCUUCAUUUCAUGAGUUUUUCUUUCCAUUUAGGGUUUCAUUGUCCUCAAUUCACAUUAUUUCUUCUUAAUCUGUACUAUAAUUGAUAUCCGUAAUGAUAUACUAGUGAUCUUAUAUCACCUCUAAUCAAAAUAAAGUAUUAUUAUUUGGAUACCUCCACCGGCGAUUUCGAUCUCUCAAUAAACAAGGAUAUCACAGGUUUCUGUUAUGUAAUUGCUGGUUAUAUCAUUUGGAUACCUCCACCGAGAAUUCAUCAACCUUCAAGUCGUCUCUUUUAUAUGUUUCAAUCAGGUAUAUCGCCGGAUGAUUCCAAUCAAGAAGAUCAAGCUACAGUAAAAAGCGGCUUUUAACUGCUGGUGGAGAUGAACCGUCAGGAAUGGAAGGUGGAAGUACCGGAUUUUGGAUGGUUGGAGGUAGUGCUGCGUUGCCACCUGUCAUUUGAGGGAUGUUUUUUUAUCCCUCCGGGUACGUAAUGGAAGAAAUGACAUCCCUCACCGAAAGGACAGCCGGAAGUGCUGCACAUAAAUCAACAAAUAGAAUUGAAAAAGUUGUCAAAAAUUGAGUGAGUUCGAAUCGAAUCAGUGAUGUUGAACUGGUAGUUUAUGUUGAUUUGUAUUUGUUGAUUGUUGAAGCAGUUAAUCUGUUUGUUUUAGAUAUAGUGAUUCGAAUUGAUAUCAGUGAUGUUUGAAAAAUAAUUGCAA